rnacentral:rRNA from 1 species
UGGGGAAUAUUGGACAAUGGGGGGAACCCUGAUCCAGCCAUGCCGCGUGUGUGAAGAAGGCCUUAUGGUUGUAAAGCACUUUAAGCGAGGAGGAGGGUACUGGUAUUAAUACUACCAGCUACUGGACGUUACUCGCAGAAUAAGCACCGGCUAACUCUGUGCCAGCAGCCGCGGUAAUACAGAGGGUGCGAGCGUUAAUCGGAUUUACCGGGCGUAAAGCGUGCGUAGGCGGCUAAUUGAGUCGGAUGUGAAAUCCCCGAGCUUAACUUGGGAAUUGCAUUUGAUACUGGUUAGCUAGAGUGUGGGAGAGGAUGGUAGAAUUCCAGGUGUAGCGGUGAAAUGCGUAGAGAUCUGGAGGAAUACCGAUGGCGAAGGCAGCCAUCUGGCCUAACACUGACGCUGAGGUACGAAAGCAUGGGGAGCAAACAGG